CUUGAUAUCAAGCCAAGGUCAGGUAGACCAAGAAAGAUUUCAGCCACAACUGCCAGAAGAAUUGUUUGGGAUACAAAAAUAAACCCACAGGUAACCUUGGAAGAAAUGCAGGCUAAUCUGGUGUGGUUGUUUCAAGGAGCACAAUACAAUGAUACUUGAACAGAAAUUAGCCGCAUGGUCGAGUUGCCAGAAAGAAGCCUUUCAACACGUUUAAUGCUAUGUGAUUUUUGUUGUUGUUUUAAGUGAUAUGAUGGUUACUAGGUGUGUCUUUCUGUCUGUGUUAAUCUCCCC